CAACCUAGAAGACAUCGACUUCACUCUCAACAGCGAUUCCCCCAAAAUCUCAAACACCUCUCUCUCUGUUCAUCAACCUAGAACCCACCAGCGAACUCUGUCGACCAGCUCCGGUGAAGGACGAUUAUUUCCGGUGAAGGACGACUAUUAUCUGCUAAUAUACCACAAUAUCUGAGAGAAUGUCCCAAAUUAAUAUUGAAAACCGGAAAAAGUUAGAAGAAUCCUCACACUGGUGGAAAAAAAAGUUUUGCUUUAGUUCGCUCUAAGUUGGUGUGUAACUAACAAAUCAUGGCAACCAAUUUCUCAAUUUUGGCUCUUGUUUAGUACAUGGUAGAUCAUCAAGAAUGCUAACUUACUUUCAUGUAAGUAGGAAAAUGAUAAGGAAACUUCGGCUCCUUUAUCACCAAAGGAAGUCUUUGUAGAUACAAGAAAAAGGAAAGAUGGGCGAUCAUACAAGUUCUCGGAUGAAGAUACAACUAGUAAAAUUUCUGAAAUGGAGGAAAUUGAAGCACAACAAAAUGAAAAUGGCAAUGAGUCCGUAGAUGCAUUUGCAUAUGUCAUGAGCCUGAACAUCCGGGACGUCUGAGAUUGUAUGAACGAGGGGUUAUAAGAACUUCUUUGAGAGGGAAAGUAGGAUUUUUUAAAUCCUCUUCAAAUACUACAAAUUCUCUACAAAAAAUGGAGGAGAAGAUACAAAGAAUGGAGGAAAAAAUUGAGUAACAAAAGGCAACUAUCCGUCAAGAAGUUGUUGCAGAUGUCCUUGCACGACUUUAGCGUUCAGGAAUUAAUAUUGAUGCUAACAUUAUUCUUGCGGCAUUGGGUGAUAAUUCUCCAGGAGAAGCUUCUUCUGCAUAGCAACCAACUUCGCAACCAAUCUGUCGUCCAUCCACUGAUAGCAACAAAGAAGACCAACUCAUUCUAGGUAUUAAUAUUGCUUAUUUAAAAUAAAAAAGUACUGAUUUAAAUCCGUUCUUUUGGCAACGUACCUACUGAUGGGUGGGUGAGGGAUAGGGAAUUUUCUUCUAUUUUUUAAUUUGACCCAUUAAAAUCUGUCGAAGAUACUCUAUUUCUUAGCGGUGUGCACUAUAAUAAUCUUCCCAUAUCCAUUUUUUAGUGCUUAAUAGUGAUAGUGAUUAAGCACUCGUAUCUGCUUUGUGAUUUUCUUAAUUUUGAUUUGCAUGUUCCAUCUUUGCUGCUAAAAAGUUAUUGAUAGAAAUUAGUAUAUCUUUGUCGCAUGAUGCAUCUUUGUCGCAUGAUGCAUCUGUGUUUUUGUUACGGCUAUGUAAAUUGUAAUCUUGAAUUAAAAAUUCUGCUGCUGGUACCACCCUCAUGCUAUGAACCCAUAGCCUUCCAAACAAGGCAUUGUACAUCAUAUCCCCUCGAUCAUGUAGAAUUUUUUUUCUUGGGUGGUCCCCAUAGUGUUUAAUGGUAGGCUUAUUUCACCUUUCAUCUUCUCGCAUGCCAUGUUGAACCCGUUCAACACUUGGACUGCCGGCAUGAUUUGGUCCAAUAAUCCCAACUCUUCUAUGACCCUCUAUCAGAUGAUGUUGGUCAAGCUACCUGGAUCAAUUAAUACACAUUUAACUCGAACUUUAUUGACAAGUACGAAUAUUACUAGUGCAUAGUUGUGAGGCUAGAUGAUGCCCUCAGUAUCCUUGUCGCUGAAUAAGAUGGGCCCCUUCAGGACGUAAUCCCGGGUUCAUUUUUCCCUUGUGAUAGAAACCUUGAUGCAUUUUAUCAUUGGCCCUUGGGGGCAUCCACUCCCCCAAUGAUCAUGUUGAUCACGUGUUGGGAUCCUCUUGUUCAAUCUAUUUGUUGGCAUCCCUGUUAUUGAAAUGAUUUUUGGCCCGUUCAUUUAUGAAUUCUCGAAGAUGUUCAUUGUUGAAUAGUCGAGCCACCUCUUACCUCAACUGUCAACAAUAUUUGAUCAUGUGACUGUGAGUACCAUGGUACUUACAUACCAAGCUAUGAUCCCUUUGUGCGGGAUCGAACUAAUGUGGCCUAGGCCACUUGGUCUCUUUGAUGCAACCAAUGGUUGACACUAUACUCGCAACAUCCACAUUGAAGUUUUACACCAAAAAUCUCGGUUCUUCCCUACCACCGAGCGAUCUACCGAAACCGCCCUUACUCAUCAAACCCCGGUUGUUUGUUGUUUGGUGCUUGAUAACUUCUCCUGUCGUUCCUGGUUGGGUGGUGACUGUAUCUAUUUCCCUCUUUGUCUGAGUCAUACGGGUGAUACCGAUCUCAGACCGGCCUUGGCUCCUAGUCCCUAAUCCUUUUAGAUUUGUCAUUCGCUCUGUUUGGGUAAAUAGACCCCGAGGGCGGCCCCAACUGGUCGUCCUCGACUAUGAUCUUUGACUUAUGCCUGCUUUGGACGUCGACCCAAGUAACCGCUGGGUACUCUACCAAGUUUUACUUCAAUUAUUGAGAAGCAAUGGAACUUCGCGGUUUGAGCCCUUGAGUGAACGCCAAAAUGGCCCAAUCAUCCACGACCGGGGGCAGGUUCAUUCGCUCAAUCUGAAACCUUGACACGAACUCCCGAAGCAUCUAAUUAUCUCUCUGCUUGAAUUUAAAUAGGUUUGAUUUCCUCGUCUCGACCUUGAUGGAUCUGGCAUGGGCUUUUAAGAAAGCAUCUUCAAGAAUAGAAAUGAAUCAAUAGAAUUCAGAGGCAGUUAUGGUGCCAUAUCAUCGCUUCUUUGGACAAGGUUUCCCCAAAUUUCUUCACUAACUCUGAUUUGAUCUCAUCGACUUCUUGGUCAAAGCCUUUAAUUGCACAUGUAUAGGAAGUUACAUGCUCGUUUAGAUAUAUGAUCCCAUUAUAUUUGGGAAUUCGGGCAUUCGGAAUCUCUUCAAGAUUGGCUUCAGUGCCGUACUUGGGGGGAAAGUCUUAUAAAUGAAUUAUUUUGAAUCCAGCCCUUUCAAUAUUGGAGGCGCUCCCGGGAUCUGAUCGACCCUCGAAUUGUAAGUUUUCACCAUCUUGUCAUUAUCUUUUUUCUUACUAGACUCAACCCGUUUUGUUAGCGCUUCGAGCAUUUUCAUCAGCUUGAAAUAUUUCCCGAGCGCGAAUUUAUCUAGUUUCAUGGCAAUUUGUUCAUCCAUUUGAGCGUUUUCUUUUACCCACUCACGCUCGAUCCUGUUAGGGGUGUGACUUUGGGUCUGCAAAUGCGCUAUUGCCGCUUGCUAAGCUUGUAACAUUUUGAAGAUCAACCGCAAGCUAACUCCAUCACCUUUUCCUUUGGGUGCUUCUUGUAUAGAUGGUCGAAUUGCUCCGCGAAUGCUAUUUUCAGGGUCAGUUGGCAGUUGAUGUUGAUGGCAACCUGUGAGUUAGCGUUGACCGGGUCAGCGAUUGGGACACCAUUGGGAUCAAGAGGGCGUACGACAUUGCUGGGUGCCACGUUAUUGUUUUCACCGUGGUGGCCUGACUCGACGUCAACGUUUAAGUUAGCGGACUGAGAAUUUAACAUUCUUAAAUUAACCUGAAAUCAAACUUCAAAGAGCAAGUGUAAAAUACGGUGUGUGUUGUGAGCACGUGAUUUUUGCCCUA